rnacentral:tRNA from 3 species
GCCGCCAUGGUGAAAUUGGUAGACACGCUGCUUUUAGGGAGCAGCGCUAGAGCAUCUCGGUUCGAAUCCGAGUGGCGGCA